CACGUAGGGCGCAAGCGUUGUCCGGAAUUAUUGGGCGUAAAGAGCUUGUAGGCGGUCUGUCGCGUCUGCUGUGAAAAUCCGGGGCUCAACCCCGGACUUGCAGUGGGUACGGGCAGACUAGAGUGUGGUAGGGGAGACUGGAAUUCCUGGUGUAGCGGUGAAAUGCGCAGAUAUCAGGAGGAACACCGGUGGCGAAGGCGGGUCUCUGGGCCGAUACUGACGCUGAGGAGCGAAAGCGUGGGGAGCAAACAGG
rnacentral:rRNA from 1 species